CGAGCCGACCGGGCGAUCGCGUCGAAGUCACUGACUUCGCCGAGGAAAGUCCGGGCUCCACAGAGCAGGGUGGUUGUUAACGGCAACCCGGGGUGACCCGCGGGACAGUGCCACAGAAAACAGACCGCCCACGCGUUCGCGCGUGGGUAAGGGUGAAACGGUGGUGUAAGAGACCACCAGCGUCGUGGGUAACCACGUCGGCUAGGUAAACCCCACCCGGAGCAAGGUCGAGAAGAGUCAAUGUUUCAUUGGCUUGCGCAGGCGUUCGAGGGCUGCUCGCCCGAGUCUGCGGGUAGACCGCUGGAGCCUGUCGGUGACGGCAGGCGUAGAUGGAUGAUCGCCCCCGGCGUUCGCGUCGGGACAGGACCCGGCUUAUAGGUUGACUCGUCCG
rnacentral:RNase_P_RNA from 1 species